AUUGAACGCUGGCGGCAUGCCUUACACAUGCAAGUCGAACGGCAGCACGGGUGCUUGCACCUGGUGGCGAGUGGCGAACGGGUGAGUAAUACAUCGGAACGUACCUUAUCGUGGGGGAUAACGCAGCGAAAGCUGUGCUAAUACCGCAUACGCCCUGAGGGGUAAAGCGGGGCAUCGCAAGACCUCGCGCGAUUAGAGCGGCCGAUGCCUGAUUAGCUUGGUGGUGGGGUAAAAGCCCACCAAGGCGACGAUCAGUAGCUGGUCUGAGAGGACGAUAGGCCACACGGGGACUGAGAAACGGCCCAGACUCCAACGGGAGGCAGCAGUGGGGAAUUGUGGACAAUGGGGGGAACCCUGAUCCAGCAAUGCGGCGUGAGUGAAGGAGGCCUUCGGGUUGUAAAGCUCUUUUGUCAGGGAAGAAACACCGGCUCUAACACAGUCCGGGAAUGACGGUACCUGAAGAAUAAGCACCGGCUAACUACGGGCCAGCCGCCGCCGUAA
rnacentral:rRNA from 1 species